rnacentral:rRNA from 1 species
UACAGAGGAGCCAAGCGUUGUCCGGAUUGACUGGGCGUAAAGCGCACGCAGGCGGCACCGCGCGUGGGGUGUGAAAUCUGGCCGCUUAACGGCCAGGCGCCAUCCCAUACGGCGGAGCUGGAGUGAUGCAGAGGUCGGUGGAAUUGCCGGUGUAGUGGUGAAAUGCGUAGAUAUCGUAAGGAAGACCAGUGGCGAAGGCGGGUCUCUGGACAGUUCCUGACGCUGAGGCACGAAGGCCAGGGGAGCAAACGGG